ACCCAGUUGAUCAUCAGAGAGCCAGAAUGAAACAACCACAUAAUAAGGCAGAUAUUGGAAAUUCUUAAAAUGAUGAGCGUCUUCCCAAACUGGAAAUAAUUGAUGAGGAAUAUUUUAAACCCUGGAAGCAAAGAGAUUUCAAAAGGAGAUGCAAUUUUAAAGACACUCAUCUAUGGAGUGCCCCAAAUGCACUAGGACUGCACAGGCUGUGUGGGGAACUCAAGGUUGAAAAAGAUAUAUCCUUGGCCCUCAGGAAGACUACAGCCAGGAGAGAAGGGGCUGUGUCUCCACUCCUCUUUGAUGACCUGAGACUCAUGGAGGUCCUGCUCUGUAGGUGAUGCAGCCUGCUCACACCAGGCAGGACACACACCGUCCUUCCACCUGCCACCCUGCACCUUACUACCUGCAGUGUGCACUGGUGUGGUCCAUGCCCCUACCUCCUGAACAGUAGUUCAUGUUCUCACUCCACCAAAGGCGCACCUCUGAGAGAUGUAUUACAGAAUCCAAUCCAAUGAAACUCUGGCCUCAUUCAUCGCAUGAUUGGUGCACCGUUGCUCCCUUUGAGUUGGAAUACGUCGUAGGCUGAGGUGGGAGGCCUGCAGAGCAGCAGCGACUCAGGUGUGCUGCAGGGAGAAUAUGCAGGUGCUCAUCUUGUUCUGCCUAAAUACCUGCUGCGGGCUGAAUGAGCUGGCAGUGGGUGAUGGGGCUAACAGAGUCAACAGAAUCCUGCAGAACCAGGAAAUGUUCACAUGUAUAAAAAUACUAGGAAUAUUUUUGCCUCAUGAAAAAAGAUGAACUUCUAUCUUUUAGGAAACAAAUUGCUUUGGAAACUCUAUUCUUAGCUCAAGAACUGGGUAGGGAGGCUUGAAAGAGGCAACCAGGCAGGUAAAGGCAGCAAUGCUAAUAGGAAAGCAGUAGCUCCCCAUCAGCACAGCCAGGCUGAUGAAACUCAGCGCCCUAACCAUGAUAACUAACACUGCAAAAUGCUCCCUAGGGCACUGAUUUUUCCAACUUAGCUGCACAGUGGAGUCACUUGGGGAGCUUUGUAAAAUACUGAUGCUGAGUCUCACCCCAGAGAUUAUGACUUAAUUGGUUUGGGAUGAAUUCUGGGCAUCAGGAUUUUUAAAAUUUCCCCCAGGUGAUUCUAAUGUGCGGCAAAGUUUGAGCCCCUCUGCUAAGCAGGCUUCAUGUUCAUUAACACAUUCAAGCUGCCCAUCGUGGCUCAGCUGGUCCGGUGGUC
ensembl:lncRNA novel transcript, antisense to CNIH3